AACAAAGAAUGGUUUCCUGCUCGACAGGCCUGCCGCCAAAAACCCAGGGUUGUAGAACACUAGACGGUGCUGCUCAGCUGUCAUCCUAAUCGCCGCCACCUUCACUCAGCCCCAUCAACACAAACGCAUCUCCAUCCAAUAACACCGGCGGCAAUCACCGUUCCGGCCAUACCGCCGUCGCCAUUCCUGAUCUUCAGUUUGGGUGUUAUUCCCAGUAAUGGUUACUGAUGGUUUCAAACGAUCAUCGAUAGCCCCACCUCCUCGAAGUCUUAAUGUUGAGAAAUUUGCAGAAUCCUGAGCUUCUGAACUUGAGGCUCUUCACUCAAUUGUAGCAAAUCGAGUGAACAACAAUUUCCGGUCUCAGAGAAACAAGAGAAGAAGGACCACGGGGUAUGAUAACAGAGAUGCAAACAAGAGAUUUAGAAAGAGGGAGAGAAUAGGGGUGGUUGAUAAAGGCAAUGUUGGGGCUUUGGAGAAAGAUGAGAAGACAGUUCCUCGUCGUAUUCGUCGGCGAGUUGAACUGAGAAGAAACCCUGAACAUGGUUACUCUACUUCUGGGGACGGUACCAAGAGGCUAAGAACCCAUGUUUGGCAUGCAAAGCGCUUCACAAUGACGAAGCUUUGGGGUUUCUACCUACCUCUGGGCUUGCAAGGCAGAGGAAGGGGUUCAAGGGCUCUCUUGAAGUAGUUCAGACAUGGAGCUCUUGUACAUGAUGCUUGUUACCACAUUGCCCUGCAAUUGGAGGGUCCGGAGGAUUCAUUAUUUUCAAUUCUAAGCAUGGUAUUGGUGCCUUCUCCAUCAGCUCACUCUGAGGAUAUUCUCCGUUUUGUUUUCUGGUGUUGUCUAUGGAAGUGCUAUGCUUCAUCAUGUUGGAGAACCUGGUUCUAAAUCAAUUGCCCCUGUAACCUAUAUGUGGAGACCCUUACAAAAAAAGGAUAUAGGUAUUGGAGUAGAACACCAUAAUGUUGAUUCUGUUAACAGCACACAGACAAAUGAGUGUUGUUCUUCCUUCCGCCAGCUAUGGGUGUGGAUGCAUGCCUCAGCUUUCAAUGAAGGAUAUGAUGCUUUGAAAUUUGCUUGUCAAGAACUGAUGGAUGAAACUGGCAUCUUGAUUAAUUGUUUUUCACUUGAGGGCCAACUUGCUAAAUUGGAAGUAAUAGGAUCAAAGGCAUUUGGACUUCUUCAAAAGAUACUGCAUCCUAUUACUUGUAAAAUUUUGAAAUCCUCGCAACUGACUAAGUGCUCUAGCCUUGAGCAUGAAGAGCAGAUUCCUUCUUGUGCAAUUCUAUCUCUUACAGUUAAUGAUCCAUGCAAUUUGCCUGAGAAAAAGACUACAGUUGUUCCAGAAGUGGCUUCUAACAAAGUACUUGGCGAUGCAUCAAAGAAUGAAGCUAUGGAAACCACUUCUUUAGUAGGAAAUCAGGACAUGGAUUUGUGGGAUGCUAGUAAUGGGCUCAGUCCUCCAAUGGAAGAGAAUGUGCUUUGCAUGGAAAAGCAUCACCGGCAUCUGGGAUUCUUCUGUCUCAGUGAGUCACAGUCUGGCAUAUUGAAUACUUCUAGUGAUGUGCAGCAUGGAUCAUGCCCAAUUCUGCUUUUAAAAAAUAAUAAUCAAAAGGGCAUGAUUGGGUAAGUAGUUCUUUAUUUAUUUCUUAUCUUUUUCUCCACUUGUAAUUAACAAGGAU